rnacentral:tRNA from 5 species
GCAGCGGUAGUUCAGUUGGUUAGAAUACCGGCCUGUCACGCCGGGGGUCGCGGGUUCGAGCCCCGUCCGCUGC